UUUAUUCGCUCUCUCCUCGAAUGGAUUGUCUGAGUGAUGCUGCCUGCUUCUUUACCGGUAAAGUGAAUCCUAGAGCGUUUAUGUACGUGGCCUCAGGGAAACCUAACAGGAUCUUGAAGCAGCAUGGGCUUCAGAGAUGCACCCAUGCAAGUGCACUGUUGCGUGGACACACCCUGCCAGCAAUUGACCUUUGCCCCACUGCCUUCUGGGGACAGGAGAACACGUGUGUGUUUAUCCGGUGAAGAGAGGCUCAUGAUGCUGAAUGCUGUCAUCAAAGGCUUUGAUGUUCGUGCAUUUUUGUAGGAUCUGAAAUGUCUGCAGACUGUUGUGAGCACUGAGGAUGAGGAGCCCAGAGCUGAAUCCUGGAAGUGGUCCCAUGGAUGAGACCCUCCAUCUCUCCAUCUGUCCUUAUGAGACCCUCUAUCGCUCCACCUGCCCUUAUUUUCUCAGAUUGUGAAGAACAGCACAGCAACAAGCUCUGGGACGAAGGCAUGGUCCCCUCUGGUGAAUUCAUCAGAAUAAAGCCGCAGAAUGGGAACCGCUGUGUUGAGUCGGCAGUAGGAUGUGGUGUUCAGCGCUUGUAAAUACAUGCUUGUAGUUUGA